UAGGGAAUCUUCGGCAAUGGACGAAAGUCUGACCGAGCAACGCCGCGUGAGUGAAGAAGGUUUUCGGACCGUAAAACUCUGUUGGUAGAGAAGAACGUUGGUGAGAGUGGAAAGCUCAUCAAGUGACGGUAACUACCCAGAAAGGGACGGCUAACUACGUACCAG
rnacentral:rRNA from 1 species